GCAGUCGAGCGAGCUUGCCUAUAGAAAUUCUUCGGAAUGGACAUAGAUACAAGCUAGCGGCGGAUGGGUGAGUAACGCGUGGGUAACCUGCCCUUAAGUCUGGGAUACCAUUUGGAAACAGAUGCUAAUACCGGAUAAAAGCUACUUUCGCAUGAAAGAAGUUUAAAAGGCGGCGUAAGCUGUCGCUAAAGGAUGGACCUGCGAUGCAUUAGCUAGUUGGUAAGGUAACGGCUUACCAAGGCGAUGAUGCAUAGCCGAGUUGAGAGACUGAUCGGCCACAUUGGGACUGAGACACGGCCCAAACUCCUACGGGAGGCAGCAGUAGGGAAUCUUCCACAAUGGACGAAAGUCUGAUGGAGCAACGCCGCGUGAGUGAAGAAGGUUUUCGGAUCGUAAAGCUCUGUUGUUGGUGAAGAAGGAUAGAGGUAGUAACUGGCCUUUAUUUGACGGUAAUCAACCAGAAAGUCACGGCUAACUACGUGCCAGCAGCCGCGGUAAUACGUAGGUGGCAAGCGUUGUCCGGAUUUAUUGGGCGUAAAGCGAGCGCAGGCGGAUUGAUAAGUCUGAUGUGAAAGCCUUCGGCUCAACCGAAGAACUGCAUCAGAAACUGUCAAUCUUGAGUGCAGAAGAGGAGAGUGGAACUCCAUGUGUAGCGG
rnacentral:rRNA from 1 species